ACCUUUGCUCAGGAAAGCAGCUUAAUGUCAGCUCAUGUCAACUGCUUCAAAAGUUACCAAAAUGCCAUUUGUAUUUUCUUCAUAGUGUUCAAGCCUUCAGUCCAGGCUCUUGUGCUGCGUGAAGUUACACAGGGAUAAAACGGACCUUUGUCAUUAAAGAGGCAAGAACCAUCCAAACAGGAUCUCCUGCGGUAGGUGUUUUAGUUACAGGUCUCAAAAUAUUCGGAAGCCGAAGCCUCAGUUUUGAAGUGAUCUGUGUCAGAAACCAACUCCUGUUCCCUCUUGGGCUCUUGCAAAGUAAACAGCAUCCCAGCCCAGAUUCAUCUCAGGCUGGGUGAGACAUCUAACUGUGGCUCCCACAGCAGGAGUCCAGCUGCCCCAGGCUCCCUCUGUAGUCAAUGAAAAGAGACAAGCAUCCUGAGCUGGUGAUUCAUGGACCACACCAAAGAUCUGAAUCAUUCCCAUGGAGUGGCUCUCUUGCUCCACUGAUUACAGAGGCAAACAAGGGUAAAUAGGUUCAUGAUGUAGGUGGUCAGCCAGGUGGAAUGUAUCCAAACCUGUUUUAGUUAGUCAGGAGCUGCAUUAUCACAGCUGGUUCUGAGUUCUUGACUCCAGACAGUUUCUCCUUCCAAUAUUAUUCACAACUGUGUCACAUGAAUCUGACCUUUUGUAAAAGUAUUCUUUCUUAAUGAAAAUGUGUAGCUAAAUAACACACAACCCUAUUGCCCUGAUCUUAAAACUGAAAGCACUUUUAAGUAGAUAUUUCAUUAUAGUUCCAAAACCUAUUUAAAGAUGGGCUGAAAUCAGUACAUUCAUUUACUAUAGACUACAUUUACAUUAGAUAUUAGGGGUAUAUUCCACUCCAGACUGAAACAGAUGAUACUUUGCUUUAGAAAUCUGCCUAGCUCAAGGGGAUUUCUGCUGCUGUAAAUCCACACAAAAAAGACAACAGCUGCAAUAACUCUGAACUGCAAUUGCACAACUGAAGCUGCAGUCCUUUUCAAGUUCAGUGGGUCUGUACUUGAGUGGGCCUAUGUGAUUUUGGCUGCAGGAAUAGCAGCUAAAUUUGGAAAAGAUUUAUGGUCUUGACAUACAUAUGAUUCCCAUCAAAAGAAAUCAUGUAAGGUCAUCUGGGCUCCUAAAUAGUUUUCUGCAUGUCUCCGGUUUCUUUUGUGAAGACUUUUCUUCUUAUCAGAGGCAGUAAAUCCAAUUCAAAACCCUCUGAAAUUUCAGAGCAGCCAAUUCUGAUUUGAUUUACACUUCCCUUAAUCCAAUGUCGCUCCAUGUGGACCCAUGUUAUAUAAAUGUUGAUGUCAAGAACUGUGUCAAGGCAUGGUUUCUAGAUGUCAUGGCUUCUGUUGCCGAAGGGCUGACACAUUUACUAGUGCAUUUAUCUUUAUACAUGGGCAUAACCAUUAAUUACCUCUGUCCUCUUCUCUAUAGGCCACCUUCCAGUCUCUUCCCCUCUCAUUCCUUUUCCCUCCGGCAAAGCAUCUCCUGUCUAGCAACCUCUGGAGACAUUUGUUACGGUAACAGGAUAGUCUAGGUCAAAUCUAUCUACUGACAAAAGAAUAAUCAAUGCUGUUGGCAAAAAUCCUGUUCUUUCAUCUAUUCACUUUGGUAUAAAAUGCCUGAAAUGUGUUCAAAAUGCGUUCUGCUGCUAAGUCAUGAAGUCUAAAGGACAAGGAGUAAAUAAGGUACCAUCAGCUCGACUCAGAAGGAAAACCGUGUAGGUGAUCUCAGACUAUUUUAGGCAGAGGUUUUGUGCUGGCGUAGGGUGGCUUUGAGGCUCACAAAGGAAAUUUCAGUGCAAAUGAACCAUAAAUCACUCUGUGGGCAGAGAAAACAGCAGAUGCAACCCCGCGCCGCUGCAAAGGGAAUGGAGGAGUGCUUUGCUCCUUCACCCUCUGGUGAGGAGCUCUUCCUCAUGGUGACUGCAGGUGUUUGUCCUCAGAGGACAGGGAAGGCAGCUUGGCAUGGCCGGAGCAUGACACCUCCCUGGCAGGAAGGGGGUUGCUGUUUUGCUGAGCUUGGAUAAACAUUAGGAGCUAAUUUAUCAUGCGACAGGAAAGGAAAGCACUGCUUUCCCCCCCUCCUCCCUGUUUUAAGAGCUUUUGUUUGAAUUUCAUCACGUGGUUUUGAGGUGCAAAGAGUGGAGAGAUUUAACCUGGGUCUCCGAACUGAUUACUUUGCUGUCAGCAGGUAUGGAGUACAGGUCUUUCUGGAUGUGUCUGCAAGUGUUAUGUAUCCCUAAAUGGCAUGGACAGGGAGCCAGACCUCAGGCUGAACUCACAAAAGCGACAUCAUACCCAUGUAGUUAGAAAGCUCUGAGCUGCUACUGCUCUGCCUCCCGUACAGUACAUCUCAGCAUAUCAUGCCCAGGAGAUAAAAGAAAGGAAACAUUUUUCCUGUACUUUAAUAAACAGUACAGGAAAACAUUUUUCCUGUGCUUUAGUUUUCCUGUACUACAAAGUAAAUAGGAGUCAGAAAUAUGUCGGUAUUCCAGCAUUUGCAGAACCUGGCAGUUCUCCUGACUUGAUUAUUUCAUGUGUAUUACGUGCGACACAGAGCAUUAUAUGCAAAGAUCUGAUUAUUCAGACAUGUUUAUAGCAUUUGAAGUCCUGACCCUAGGCCAAUCUGCUCUGGACUAUGGAGGACUACACACGGGGAUAACAAUAUGGCUUCAAAAUCAAACCUCUCAGCUGUUUUUGAGGUGCCUUAGAAAUUCUGCUGUAUCCACAGUCUGGGCUUCAAGUGUAGCAUUUACAAAGCAAGGUGUUUAAUGAAGGUAUUUGCAGAAUGUCAUGUGGGAGGCAUAUUCCUUAACUAGGAUAUUCUGGAUUCAAGUUCCCUCCUGGACUAAGCCAUCCUUCUGGGCAUAAGUGGGUACUUACUUAGCUCUUUAUACUCGAGGAGACAGUGCCUCCCUUUUAUAUAGCAGACAUUUAUAUGCCAUGGGAACCCACCUGAGGCUGAAACCCAUUUCUGAAGAAAGUGCUUAACCACUUACAUUUCCAUCUCUCCUCUGAAACUUAUGCAGAGAGCGAUACAUGAUUUGAAGGUGACAAAGAUAAAGGUGACAACUCCUUGCGGCUGAGGAAGGUCUAGAGCUAAAACCUCCUGCCUCUCAGAUGGGAAGGCCAACCACAGAUGUGAGGAGCUGAGAAAACUGAAUGUGAGAGUGUCUGUGCCUUGUUAACAAAGUGGUUGAAGUGAAGAUUAGUAUAUGGGGUUCAUUCAUAUUCACUCUCCAUUUUGGAAUUGUGUGGUAGGUUCUUUGCUUUCAUAAUGAAGUGUGAUUAUAGUUGGUAGCUAGUAUUUGGUUUUAACUAUUUAAGAACAAAACAAACCUUAGUUUCCAAAGAAAUUACAUUUUCUCUCUGAGAUGACCUGGAAUGACAUCUUUCAGGAUCUAGGUGAAUACUGAGGUUCACUUAUUGAUGUAUUCCACAUAACCUGGCUCUGAGAUCCAUGAAUCUGAGUGGAUGUGUUAUGGUGUCAAAUUGAUAGAGAUUAUCAACUCUGUGCCUUUACGGUGUUCAGCCUUUUGCCCUUGCACUCACAAAGUCUCCACUUGACUCAUGUUAAACGUAAAUAAAAUCAGGCCAGAUUCUUUCUACUAACAUUAUUAGUUUUCACAUUUUAUGUGGGAUGAGUUGAAGUGAAAUUGUGUUUGUUCAUGCAGCUGUAAAUUCCACUUUAUUUUUCAGCCUUGUUCUAUUCUUCCUUGAACGUAUUAUUUUGAAGAUGCUGCCUUGACAGCUCCUUAGGCUGAAGUCCUCUUCAUCCAUGAUGGUACAGCAAAAGUAAUGAAGACGAAAGGUGAGGAUUUUGCCUUUCCUGCAUGCACUGUCCACCUGGAUUUGGACCUUCCUCAACUUGCAACAUCAGUUAGGCAAAGCCAGGUCAAACAGUUCAAGCACGUCUGAACUCGUGACUCCCUAAGGAUAAGGAGAAAAUAAUGAACUUUACUAUCAGUAAAGGUAUGUGAUGACUCCAUUGUCCUCACCACCAGAGCUGACACACCUCAGGAAUGUAUUUGCAGGGAAGAACAAUUGGGAACUCGGUUUAGGAAGGGGACUGGCACAACCUGUAAGGUCUGCUGGCAGGAGUUAGUGCUUGGCAGUGGUCCUGCCACAGGGAAACCCCCAGCACUGGGAACCAGUUGCCUACACAGGCUCUCAUAUUCAGAUCUCUGCUCUAUGCUGGAAAUGUUCAUCGCUUGUCAAGGAGUGGUAACAAGGUAAUUCCCUUAAACUCUUGAAAAUAAGAGUGGUGAGGCACCAGAAUGGGUUGC